rnacentral:rRNA from 1 species
CCGGCGCACGGGUGAGUAACACGUAUCCAACCUGCCGUCUACUCUUGGACAGCCUUCUGAAAGGAAGAUUAAUACAAGAUGGCAUCAUGAGUUCACAUGUUCACAUGAUUAAAGGUAUUCCGGUAGACGGUGGGGAUGCGUUCCAUUAGAUAGUAGACGGGGUAACGGCCCACCUAGUCUUCGAUGGAUAGGGGUUCUGAGAGGAAGGUCCCCCACAUUGGAACUGAGACACGGUCCAA